rnacentral:rRNA from 1 species
UACGUAGGGUGCAAGCGUUGUCCGGAAUUAUUGGGCGUAAAGAGCUCGUAGGCGGCUAGUCACGUCGGAUGUGAAAACCCGAGGCUCAACCUCGGGCCUGCAUUCGAUACGGGCUGGCUAGAGUACUGCAGGGGAGACUGGAAUUCCUGGUGUAGCGGUGAAAUGCGCAGAUAUCAGGAGGAACACCGGUGGCGAAGGCGGGUCUCUGGGCAGUGAACUGACGGCUGAGGCGCGAAAGCCCAGGGGAGCAAACGGGG